rnacentral:lncRNA from 1 species
UUGCUUCAAUGGCCCUUUUUAUUAUCGUUCAUGUUGAGGAUAAUUAAGCAAGCCAAAAAUGUUACAUUUUAUGGUGCAUGGAAAAUAAAUGCAUCGUUUAAAAAUUAUAUUUGAAAAAAAACUUCCCGGAACAACCCUGAUUAUGCGACCUCCUGGAGGCCCGCGAACCUCAGGUUGCGCAUCCUUGCUCCAAACCGAGGGAGGUGGUGACGAUCCGCUUAUUUUGAUACCGAGUUCGGCUAAGAUGGACUCCCACUCUCCCAACACGGGGGUUUAGAAAGUUCUCCGCCUGCUGCUUCGACCUCUACCUGUUGUAGGAACCGAAACGCAGUCCAGGCCAUGUCGCUCCGGCGCGGAGCGUCGACGGAAGGGGGAGAAAGUGUGAACGGAGGAGGCGGAGGUGGAGAAGUGGUCCAGUCGAAUUAAUAAGAGAUGAACGCGUCUUUCUGCGUCGAAACUGCGGAUCCAUUUGGACACAACCAUGGCUGUCAACCGCGAAUUGGUGUGAAUUGAAACCUCCCGAGUGAGGUUUUGCUUCCCCCGGAGGCUGGAGCUACCGACAGACCGCGACGCUGCACCCGGGCUGUGAAACGCCGGAAUCCGCACAGACGCUGGUGUGUGGCGGCGGUUCUGUGGCGGUGCCGGGGUCCAGGGUCCACGGUCCACGGUCCCUGGUCAAACGACGUCUUCGUGGGUUUCUUUGCUCAUGCACAUGGCCGUGUGACCAUUUCCCCCCACCCAAGCAAAGGUCUCCACACUCCCUUCACACCCCGUCAUCACCCCCUCCUCCCCAGGAGACCAGCAGAAGAAUUCCUGGAUCGCCUUCCACCCCGUCCCAUCUCCCACCCUCAUUUCUGCCCUCAGAGCGGACACGUGCGUCAGUGUCGGGGUGUUGGAACAGCACGCCGCUCUGCCGUUGACAAAAUGAAAUGCUCUCCUGGAGUUUCCAGACUAAGUUCACCACAGUGACAUUGGCAGCAGGAAAUGUGGUAAAUGGCUCCUCAAAGCAAGAGAAAAUGCCAAAUGGAGGAGUUAAAGACUCGCCCUGCUUGGUAAUGAUGUGAACAAUUCACCUGUGGAAGCAGGAAAGUCAGAGGUGCCUUGCACGAGGGAACGCAGGGCAGUUUUCUUCAUAUUUCCAUUCAUUCACUUUGUUCUUUCGUGUUGGCGUGAUUCGGUAACAGGCCGGCGCCUGUGCCACCUUCGAUUCCACUUCCUGAAACCCCUUUCUUUCUUUUGUGUCACCCACCUAGCCUCCACCAUUCGCCCCUCCCUCACAACGGCCGUCCUCCCCCCUCGUCCCCGUCCCCAGUCAUCCUCCCUCUCCACAACUGCUUCCUCUGCCCCCGCCUCUCCUCGCCACCACCCUCCUCAUCAUCAACACCAUCACCACCCUCAGCACCUGCACCACAGCUACCAAACCCUCUCAUCCUCCCCGC